rnacentral:rRNA from 1 species
UCCUCCCUCUUUCUUCGUGCUUAACACAUGCAAGUCGAACGGAAAGGCCCUGCUUUUGUGGGGUGCUCGAGUGGCGAACGGGUGAGUAACACGAGAGUAACCUGCCCUUGACUUUGGGAUAACUUCAGGAAACUGGGGCUAAUACCGGAUAGGAGCUCCUGCUGCAUGGUGGGGGUUGGAAAGUUUCGGCGGUUGGGGAUGGACUCGCGGCUUAUCAGCUUGUUGGUGGGGUAGUGGCUUACCAAGGCUUUGACGGGUAGCCGGCCUGAGAGGGUGACCGGCCACAUUGGGACUGAGAUACGGCCCAGACUCCUACGGUAGGCAGCAGUGGGGAAUAUUGCACAAUGGGCGGAAGCCUGAUGCAGCAACGCCGCGUGCGGGAUGACGGCCUUCGGGUUGUAAACCGCUUUCGCCUGUGACGAAGCGUGAGUGACGGUAAUGGGUAAAGAAGCACCGGCUAACUACGUG